CGGCCACACUGGGACUGAGAUACGGCCCAGACUCCUACGGGAGGCAGCAGUGGGGAAUAUUGCACAAUGGGCGCAAGCCUGAUGCAGCGACGCCGCGUGGGGGAUGACGGCCUUCGGGUUGUAAACCUCUUUCACCAUCGACGAAGGUCCGGGUUCUCUCGGAUUGACGGUAGGUGGAGAAGAAGCACCGGCCAACUACGUGCCAGCAGCCGCGGUAAUACGUAGGGUGCGAGCGUUGUCCGGAAUUACUGGGCGUAAAGAGCUCGUAGGUGGUUUGUCGCGUUGUUCGUGAAAUCUCACGGCUUAACUGUGAGCGUGCGGGCGAUACGGGCAGACUAGAGUACUGCAGGGGAGACUGGAAUUCCUGGUGUAGCGGUGGAAUGCGCAGAUAUCAGGAGGAACACCGGUGGCGAAGGCGGGUCUCUGGGCAGUAACUGACGCUGAGGAGCGAAAGCGUGGGGAGCGAACAGGAUUAGAUACCCUGGUAGUCCACGCCGUAAACGGUGGGUACUAGGUGUGGGUUUCCUUCCUUGGGAUCCGUGCCGUAGCUAACGCAUUAAGUACCCCGCCUGGGGAGUACGGCCGCAAGGCUAAAACUCAAAGGAAUUGACGGGGGCCCGCACAAGCGGCGGAGCAUGUGGAUUAAUUCGAUGCAACGCGAAGAACCUUACCUGGGUUUGACAUGCACAGGACGCGUCUAGAGAUAGGCGUUCCCUUGUGGCCU
rnacentral:rRNA from 1 species